rnacentral:rRNA from 1 species
CACGUAGGGCGCGAGCGUUGUCCGGAAUUAUUGGGCGUAAAGAGCUCGUAGGCGGCCUGUUGCGUCCGCUGUGAAAGCCCGGGGCUUAACCCCGGGUCGGCAGUGGAUACGGGCAGGCUAGAGGUAGGUAGGGGAGAAUGGAAUUCCCGGUGUAGCGGUGAAAUGCGCAGAUAUCGGGAGGAACACCGGUGGCGAAGGCGGUUCUCUGGGCCAUUACUGACGCUGAGGAGCGAAAGCGUGGGGAGCGAACAGG